rnacentral:rRNA from 1 species
ACUCCUACGGGAGGCAGCAGUGGGGAAUAUUGCACAAUGGGCGCAAGCCUGAUGCAGCCAUGCCGCGUGUGUGAAGAAGGCCUUCGGGUUGUAAAGCACUUUCAGUCGUGAGGAAGGUAGUGUAGUUAAUAGCUGCAUUAUUUGUACGUUAGCGACAGAAGAAGCACCGGCUAACUCCGUGCCAGCAGCCGCGGUAAGUACGGAGGGUGCGAGCGUUAAUCGGAAUUACUGGGCGUAAAGCGCAUGCAGGUGGUUUGUUAAGUCAGAUGUGAAAGCCCGGGGCUCAACCUCGGAAUAGCAUUUGAAACUGGCAGACUAGAGUACUGUAGAGGGGUAGGAAUUUCAGGUGUAGCGGUGAAAGUGCGUAGAG